GACGAACGCUGGCGGCGUGCUUAACACAUGCAAGUCGAACGGUAAGGCCCUUCGGGGUACACGAGUGGCGAACGGGUGAGUAACACGUGGGUGAUCUGCCCUGCACUUCGGGAUAAGCCUGGGAAACUGGGUCUAAUACCGGAUAGGACUCCUGGCUUCAUGGUUGGGGGUGGAAAGCUUUUGCGGUGUGGGAUGGGCCCGCGGCCUAUCAGCUUGUUGGUGGGGUAAUGGCCUACCAAGGCGACGACGGGUAGCCGGCCUGAGAGGGUGACCGGUCACACUGGGACUGAGAUACGGCCCAGACUCCUACGGGAGGCAGCAGUGGGGAAUAUUGCACAAUGGGCGCAAGCCUGAUGCAGCGACGCCGCGUGAGGGAUGACGGCCUUCGGGUUGUAAACCUCUUUCAGCUAUGACGAAGCGCAAGUGACGGUAGUAGCAGAAGAAGGACCGGCCAACUACGUGCCAGCAGCCGCAGUAA
rnacentral:rRNA from 1 species